rnacentral:lncRNA from 10 species
UGUGACUGUAAGCUGUCCCUAGAUGAGCUGACAGACCCUGGCUGAGCAGGAAGUGGCAGGGUCAGGAAAAGCUAGGCCACAAGUUUUCCCUUGAGAGCCUUAGAGACUGCAUCUCACCAUGUUGCUCAGGCUGUUCUCGAACUCCUGGGCUCAAGCAAUCCUCCUACCUCAGCCUCUCAAAGUGUUGGGAUUAUAGAUGUGAGCCACUGUACCCGGCCCUGGUUGCAUUCUUCAUUAUUAGGAACAUAAGAGUCUAGCCCUGUCGCCCAGGCUGGAGUGCCAUGGUUUGAACUCUACUCACCGCAACCUCCACCUCCCAGGUUCAAAUGAUUCUCCUGCCUCAGCCUCCUGAAUAUCUGGGAUUACAGGUGCCUGCCACUACACUCAGCUAAUUUUUGUAUUUUUAGUAGAGACAGGGUUUCACCAUGGUGGCCAGGCUGGUCUUGAACUCCUGACCUUGUGAUCUGCCCAUCUCGUGCUGGUAUUACAGGCGUGAGCCACUGCGCCCAGCCUAAAAUAAUUUUCAGUGAGUUAUAAGAAAACAGCUGCAUUCUGUUCUGUUUUUAGGCCUGGCCAGAGAAUACCAGGAGACUGUAAGAUGUCAUGGUACAUCAAGUCAGUCUCAAGUGUCCUAUAACCCUGGCUUGCCAUCAGCUUAGAAUGUUCUCUUUUUCUACUGACCUGCCUUCCAUCUGUGGUCUCUUCCUUCCGUCUGCUAUUUAUCAUGUACUUAUUGAUGUGUGUCCCAGAAUGUUCAGAAUCAUCUGAUUUAAAAGAUUCUGUCCCAUUUUCAGUAAAAGUAGCCCAAUAUUUUGUUGAGAAAACACAGUGACUGUGCAUAUACCUACCUACUCAUUAAGGUAUCACUUGUUGGUCACCUAGAGUAUAAAUUCAUGGCGUGGAUAUGACCUUGGUAUGAGCCUGUUCUAUACUGAUUUUGUCCCUCAUUGGGGAAAGACACUAGGAGGAUGUGUGUAUAGUGAAUAGAGGUACAGAUUGGGCACAGGCAGACUCUUUCUUGAAUCUAUUUCAUCAAUUAGUGGAUUUUUUUUCUCCUAGCCAAGUUAUUUAGCCUCUUCCUAUAUGAAAUACUCCUUCUUUUCAUCUGUUUUUGUUUUUAAAUGAGAUGACAAUUCAUGACUAGUCUUGGUCCCCUUAACACUUAGUGAGUGCUCAACAAAUGGUAGGAAUUAUUAUGGAUAACAAUAAUUAGUGUAAGUUCAAUAUGUAAAUAAAACUGCCUUUUGUUCACUAUCACAUCGCUUGUCUCAUCGGGUCUCAUCAUGAAAUAUUGGUCAUCAUUACUAUGAGAUCCAUCUAUGGUUAAUAUUACUAGUGUGACCCUAAAAUAGGAUUCAUCAACUAGGUAUGAUCAUCCGUCUAUUCUUUCCUUAAAUACAUUGAGCAAAAUCUUCAGGGGCAGCUGUAUUUUUUAACUGCACAUGCUACAGGGAUUCUGAAGUGAAACAUGGUGAAGAACCACCCAAUCAGACAUUUGAAUGGGGACUGACAGUCUUAAGUCUAAAGAAAUUUCCUCUUCCUUCAUAGUAAUUAGCAAGAAACUUCUACAAAAGUUACAAUGCCAAUUACUGGAAACGCGCAUAUCAGGAGUUCCAUGGAGGACCAUUUCCAAGCAGUAGACAUCAUGCAUCAAUCUGCUUUUUGAAAUCCAGACUGAUUUUCCAAAUCAUUUUUAAAUAAGAGGCCUCAAGCCGUAUGUAAGAAACAAGAAAAUUUGUGCCUUAAGAGCAACUAUCAACUUAAAUCAAAGAGGGGUAAGAGGUAAGCUCAGGGGAUAGAGAAGAUUAACCUAACAACAAAUAGCCUUUGCUUACUUCUGAGAUACCUAGCAAAUGCUGCCUUUUUGAAUUUUGUGCAAUUAGUUUAGUACUUCAAUUACCUAGAUAUUUUUAAGUUAAACAAGCUCUUGAGUGAUUUUUUCAUCAAUUUACAUUGAGUUAUAACAAAUGUAGGAAUAUUUGUAUUUAAAAUGCACAAGAAAAUGCAAAACAUAUCUCUAAUUUGACCACUAAAAGGCCAGUUUCUGAUGAUAACUUUUUGCCAUAUCUUAUUAACUGUAAUGUAUCUUUAAGGAUGACACAUGGAAUAGUUCCAAUGUAUAACAGAAAGGAAAUCUGAUAUUAUACUUAAGUGCAUUCUGUACUCUGUGGGGAAAGAUGCAGAAUAUAUUACAAAGAACAAUGAAGACAUGUUUCAAAAGUAAGCAUUAAUUUAUUCAUUCAUUCAUUUAUUCCCUCACACUCUUAUUCAACAAACAUUUAUUGAAAAUCCUCCCAUGCGCAAGGUGGGUGUUCUAUCUAAAUUCUAUGAAGAACAAGACAGACAAGGUCCGUCUUCUCACAGAGCUUACAUUUUAGUGAGGUAAAGUUGUCAAUAAGUAUGCAAAUUAAAAAAAUGACAGGCUCAACUAAUGCCUCCAAAAGCAACUAUUUUUAAAGCAAAAUCUGAUUGUGUUCAAGUCUAGCAAAGAGUCACAAAAAUAUAUUUUUAGAAAUGAAGAUUGUUGACAUGGUAAGGUUAUUCAUUCUUUCUAUUUUUAUAAAUAAAUCAAUUAACCCUAUUUUAUUUUAAAAAGUCAUGCAAGGUCAAAAACGUUGGGAUGAUUGGUAUUAAACUCUGGUGGAAGAAGCUCCCUGAAUGCCUCCCUGACAUCAGUCAUACAGGUCAGGAAGCAAACACCUUUCCUCUUGUUUCCUAACUGCCCUUUUUACCCAUUUCAUAGCACACACUUACUCCGGUCACCAAACUGGUUACCAUCCUCCUGUGUUCUGUUUUUGUAAGAGGGCAUUUAUUUGGCCCUAGUUACCCAAGAAAAGGCAAUUAGUCUUGACAACUGCUGCAAAGAGAAAAGACGAGAUGAUGGAAACAUUCAACACUUAAAAAUCCUUAGAUUUCAAGCAUUGGGGUUUCUGCCCCUAUAGAUUUCUGGGAGUUUGGGACAAUUAAAAUAUAUCUUUUAUUUUUUUAAAAAAAUAUAUAUAAAUGAAUGCUAAAACAACUCUUAAAAGGAAAUUGCUUUAUAUAGUCUGGCUAUGAUCAGCAAAACUGGUAUUCAUAUUUACAUUUGUUUAUUAUAUCAGUGAGGUUUGAGAAUCAUUUAAAAGAAUUGUGUUCUAAUUCAACCUAAAUUCCCUUCCUGUUAAUCUGAGCCAAAUGUCCCAAACACAGACAUGGCAGUUUUUAAAUCUCUGAAAACUAUUUAAAAACUAAUAUUAAAAAUAUAGUUUUAAAAUAUAUUGCAUAUACCUGUAUACUUAGGUAUGAAGAAAUUUCCUCUUCCUUCAUGGUAAUUAGCAAGAAACUUCUAUAAAAGUUACAAUGCCAAUUAUUAGAAACAUGCAUAUCAGGUGUCCCACGUAGGACUAUUUCCAAGCAGUAGAGAUUAUGCAUCAAUCUGCUUUUUGAAAUCCAGACUGAUUUUCCAAAACACUUUUAAAUAAGAGGCCUCAAGCCAUAUAUAAGAAACAAGAAAAGUUGUGUAUAUUUGUAUACAGGUAUAUACGAGUGCCCGUAUAUGCAAGCUGAGGUGGAGAAAUUGAAGACACAGAUUAUGUAAGCCAUUAACUCUUUAGGGGAGCAAGCUCUGAUGUUCCCACUUGAAGACGGGAGAGGGGAGUCCUCUCAUGCUUGCGUCUCACUGUAACUUUUAUGCUUUUGUCUGUGGGUGUGUUUGUUCAGUGCUUAGACUGAACAACAGUGACCUCUUUGAAACAAGAGGAUAUACAGUUCACGUGCCACAUAAUGACUUUCAGUCAAUGACAGACUGCAUAUAUAAAAAGCACAUUCUAAUAGGACCUUUGAUAAUCGUUUUGUCUUCUUGACUAUCAUCUUCUCUAGGAGAAAGUCUUCCCUGAUACUCUGCCCCCUGCCUCCACACAUACACAUACACAAACACUCAGAUAUAUCUCUACCACACAUACUCCUGGCUAGGCUAAGUGCACCCUUUUCUUUUUCUUUUUCUUUUUCUUUUUCUUUUUCUGAGACAAGGCCUUGCUCUGUUGCCUAGUCUGGAGUGAAGUGGCCUGAUCAUAGCUUACUGCAGCCUCCAACUUCUGGGCUCAGGCGAUCCUCCCACCUCAAUUUCCCAAGUAAUUGGGACUACAGGCAUGCACAAACAUGGCUGGCUAAUUAUUUUUAUUAUUAUUAUAAGUAGAGAUGGGGUCUCACUAUGGUGCCCAGGUCGAUCUCAAAGUCCUGGGCUCAAGCAACCCUCAUGCCUUGGCCUCUCAAAGUGCUAGGAUUACAGGCAUGAGCUAUCAUGUCCAGCCUAGCUACCCCUUUUCUAUACUUUCCUAGCAUCAUGUGUGGGUCUUUCUCAUACUAUCUACAGCACACUGUGAUUGUGUAUUUACCCAUAUUUCUCCCAAAUGACUAUAAACACCUCAAGGGAAAGGAUUAUAGCUUAUUCAUAUUUGAAUCCUUAGUAUUUAUGACAAUGCUUGGCUCAUAAUAAGCUCUCAAGAGAUAUUCAUUCCAUUGAAUUGAAAUGACUUCCACUUGGGUUUCACAGUAGAAUACUCAUUACUCAUCAGACUUACUCAGGGGACAAGUCUCUGGCCUCAUUUUCAUUUGCAUCUUGGCCAUGAUUUUGCCUACUGUCAAUCACCAUGAAGUACAGAAAAGCAAACUGAGCUAUGGUGAGCCAAAUUAACUGGACCUAAGAUGACCUCAUCAGCAAAGCGCCCUAAGCAAUCAAGCAAUCGGGUCAGCUAGUUGCAGCCUAUAGUUAUCGUGGAAAACUGGUUGCUACUUUGAUCUCAGCUCACCUUGCCAAAUACUCCUUUUGUUUGAAAGAUAGUCAUAACAAGUACAAAACAACACUGAGUGAAUAUUUUUAAUAUUAUAAGCACCUAGAUAAAUUUAAUUUCUAUUUCCAUUAAUGAUCUGAAUAACCUAAAUUCUUCUAAUACCUAUAUUUGUCCAAUUUUAAGGUAUUCUGACUUAGGCAGAAAUUGGGCAAUUAUCUGAUUAAUUCAGGCCAAUAUUUUUAACACUGGAUUUCUGCAUCACAAGAAUUGUUAAUUUAUUCUUAUAUCCUCAUUCCUGGUACACAAUGGGUGCUCAGAAGUAGCUAGGAUUUACUGAGAGCUUACUAUAUGCUAAACUGUACAACAAUGUGUUAUCUUACAUUAAGUCUCACAAAAAUUAAAACUCUCAAAAAACUUCGCACUAAUUGUUUGAGAUAGAUGAGAUUACAAUCUGAGUCUUAAGAAGGUUAAGUAACCCACCCAAGGUCGAAUUAAGAACUUGAGCUAUCUUUUUAAUCACUACUCUAUAUAGACAUUUGUUGAAUAAAUGGUCAGAUGCAUUUUGAUCAAGCCUAUGCUUAUUUGAAAUAUCACAUGCUUUUUUGAACUUUAUAGAUAUAUAUUAACCAUUUGGAAAAAUGUAAGAACAAAAUCUCAUGGAAAAUGUAAAUUUCAAUCUUGCAAACUAAACAUUCGAUUUAUACACUUUCAGGAUUUACUCUGUUGUGUGAAUAUGCGUACUUUAGAAUAAAACUGGUAUCAUACUAUACAAUGAAUAUCAAGUUUUAAUUCAAUAAUGUUUAAUGAAUAAUUCCCUAUGUCAUUAAUAAUCCUCUUAUGAGUAUUAUUUUAAAAGAUACAUUAUUUUACUUCAAGAAAAUUUUAUGAUUUGUAUAAUAGAACUAUAGCUUUUGGACAUUUUGGCUACUUAUAACUUUUAGUGCUUUGAUAAUAUCAUUACAAACAUCAUUACACAUAUAUUUUAUAAUUUUUAAGAAACAAAUAUGUUCUUAAAUUUGUUUUUUAAGGAAAAUUAUUAUUGGUUGAAUGAUUACAUCAAAGGGAAAUGGAUUAUUUUCAUAUGUAAUUUCAUGCUACCUCCAACAAAGGUUUUAUCCUGAUUAUAUUGUAGACCUGAAUUCAUUUAAAUUUAUGCUGAUUUUUUUAACUUUAGAGACAUAUUGCUCAUAUUCAAGUACAUUUUAAUUCAUGUUAUAAGUAUAUGACAACAUAAACAUGUUUUGACAUCCUCUACUGAAUAUAUUCUUUUUACACCACUAAGCAUUUUUAAAAUUUAGUUUUUUAUAAAAAGGACAGAUAGGCAGGCAGGCAGAGAGAGACAGAGACAGAGAUGACAAGCAUAAACAAGGAAUUGUAGCUGUGGUCUAACAGAUUACACAUUUUUAAGCACCUAAAUUUAGAAAAUUAGGUGGUAUACUUUAUUAUUGAUCAUUUGGGGUCAAACUAGCUAAUCUGGCAACUUAAUUUUCCUAGGGAUUUAUUUGAUGUAAAAAUAUGGUCUGAUCGUUCUUCAGUGGUUCUUUCCUUUUAGGAGUCUUGCUCAUGAGAACCUGUCUUAAAACUUUUACUGCUUGAAAUAUGUAGAAAGUCCAAGGGUAAAGGAGAGUGGAAUUUGUUGUUGUUUACUAUGAAGAAUUAUCAUUGAGUCAGUUCACCUUUGGCUGGCAUCUGGGGAAAGUUUGCCUGCACGACAUGAUUAACAGCUAAAAUAUUCUUACGGCCUUUAUCUCAGCAGUCUAGAAGGUUCGAAUGAAAAGAACAUUAUCCAUAGAGGAAGUAGGAGGUAAACAUUCCUAACAAAAAUGGACACUCAAUAAAUACAUGUUAAAUAAAAGAAUAAACAAAUACGUUCAAGUCGAUUCUAGUUGUGCAGUGGUAACCCUUGUCGUAUUGGAACAGUAAUGCACAUGGACCAUGAGUCCUUGUAUUCUUCUUGAGCCAGCUUGGUGAACUUGGUCAAACCACUGACACUCAAUUGCUUCACUGGUAAAACAAAGCCAAUAGCAUCCGCUAUACUUAUCCAUUAGAUUUUUUAUCCAUUAGAUUUUUUAAUAUAUAUGAAUACAAUUUAUGAAAGUACUGUAUACUAUGUACUUAGUAUAUACUUAAUUAGUAUGAAAAUAAAGUAAAAAUACCAUAGAAAAUUAGAGGUUUAUGAAUUGCUAAUACAUGAGAUAUUUACUAGGGUGUAUAUUUACUAUGUCUUCUAAAAGUAUAAGUUUGGUAAGCAGAAAUCUCUUAGGGUUUAGCAUUUCUUUAACUGAUAGCAAAAAUUUUGAAUGUUAACUAUUUAAGUGUAUCUACAGUGACUUUCCUUUUCUUCAUGAUAUUGCCUUGUUUAUCCCUUUGAUUUAUCCUCAUGUCCCACUGAAGCAAGCUAUGCACCUUAAUGCCAUCUUGUUUAUGGGGACUAAUAAAAGAAAAUUGUCUGCAAUGGGAGAUCUGCUUUAUUUACAUGCAAAUUAAAACUAUAUUCCUUCGGUUACAGGCCAAAGAUUAUUAAUGCAUGAUGUGUAACAAUUUCAGGCAAAGGUAAGAAGAAAAAGAAUGCCAAAAAUGUGGACCAUUUUAUUAUUUAGUUAAGCAUUAUAGUACUGCAAAUCCUUUUUCCACCAUCUUUUCAAACUUUUGCCGUGACAGAAUUGUUUUUGAUACCCACAUAGAAAAGAUUAAAUGAGUAGAAAAGAAGAUCAAUAUGAAAAAUUUAAAGGAACUGUCAUUUUUCAGCCUAGGAAGAGAGAGAAUGCCGAAAGACUUCUAAUGUAUGGAGUUUAAACAUCAGAUGGUGAUUGAUUGCUAUUAAUUUAUGUCAGCAAAGGAGGAGAAGAAAUACGUAAAACUGCCUCUGAAGAAUUUACAUUAAACACCAAAAGAAUCUGACUCUGAAAAUGAAGAAACAAGGAAUAUUGUUUGUUUUGGGAAUCAAAAAAAAAAAAAACUUCCCAUUUGAGUACACAAUUUCCUAAACAAGAUACAUGAUAAUUCCAUACACUAUGCUUUCCGAAGAAACUUUGUAAAACGUAUUUUCAUUAUUCAAAACUUGAAAACACAGAAACAAUAUGAUGCAAAAAAUUAUCUUUAGCAUUAUUCCACUAAGAUAAUUCAUUUUAACAUCCAUAUAUUCAUUAUUAUGUAAAAUACCUAUCAGUAUGUGGGUAUAUCUUUGUGUGUAUAUUUUAACAAAACAAAAUUCAAUAAAAAUUGAAAUACAGAAAUGACAAAAACACACAAAAAAUAUAAAUUAUUUCCAUUGUAGCAUAUAUUACCUUUUUCACCUAACAUUAUACUGUAGGAAUAUAUUCUUUCAUCAUUCAAUGCUUUUGAAAAUAUAAUAAUAUUCCAUUUUAAGGACAUGCUAUAAUUUAGUUCAUUAGUUUUUAAACUUUUAGAUUAUCUCAUUUUGUCAUCAUUUAAAAAAAGUGUUCCUGGAUGUCCUUUUGCAUAGACUUUUGAAUGUAUUUCUGACUAUUUUCUUAACCUGUCCUGUACUUCUGCAAGUAGAACUGCUUGAGCAGAGAUUAGGAGCAAUUUUAAGGUUUUUCAAAAAUCUUGACAAACUAUUCUGCAGGAAAAAUGUAUCUUGUUACCAUCAGCAUUUUUAAGUAACUAGUGACUAAUUGUAAAAAUAAUUGUGUUUCCUUGUAUUUAAGCCUUGCGCUAUAGAUUUUAAAAAUUUGUCCUUUUUUUUUUUUCAUUUGUAAAAAAAAGCCAUCUAAAAGACCUUAGAACCUGGUAUCAGCUGAAGCUUACUAAACCAUAUCAAGAAGAUCAUGUCAUUCUCAAGAAAAGCAUGUUUCAAAUAAAAAGGAAAUGUCAGCCCUGAGCGUUUUUAUUAACCAUCUCCCCAUCUGACUUCAGAGACAGCUUUAGCUGACCACUUCCUCUCUCGGGUUUAUUUGUAUUAGAAAUAAGUGGAUUCAUUAACUGUGCCACUUGGUGGUCAGGCCAGGCCUGCCAGUGUCCAAUAACAGGUAAUGGUUGUAUUUUUCACGGGGUGACUGAUGUUUACUUUGUUGAUGGCCCCAGGAGCUCAUGUAAUCUGAGAUAGGUCUUUGUUUACUUCUUGUUUUACUGAUAUGCUGACCCAUUUGAAACUAGCGAGAAAGAAAAAUAAACAUUCUGGAAUAUGGUACCUGAAGUCACUCUUCCUUAGUGGCUUUAUUGUAACCUCUUCAAAGGCUUUUGUUAACCCACUCUUUUCCCAGCAAAAAACCCUGAUCUGGUCUCUUUUCCAAUUAAACCAAAAGCAAUAUCACACCAAAUAAGCAAACAGAAAAUAUUGAAAUUACCACUUAAAGAGAGUUUUAUCUGGGGUUUAAUUGUGUGUGUACUCAAGCGUUUAGUGUAGGUCAUUUGCUAAUGACAUCUAGUAAUUUUUAAAAACUGGAUAAAACUGAUACUGAGCCUGUCUACAGCAAUUUAACUAUUUUGGGGGAGUAUAAAGUUAGAUUUGUCUAUACUGACUUGUUUGCUCCAUUUUAAAAACUGUGUUGGAAUGAUUUAUUAUGGAUGAUCCAAAAUAAACGUGAAGUGAGGAAACUAUUUUUUAAUUACCACUGGUAGCAUAUUUAAUGGAAUUGUGUUAUUGUGCCAGAAACCUUAUUGAGCUAUAUUUGUUCUAUUAUCUUACUCAUCAGCACAGCAAAAGUUCAUAUUUCAAGGGUGAAGGAAGUGAGGCAUAGAGAGGUUAAAUAAUUCCCCAAAGGCAGAGGGCCGCCAAUUGGUGAAUGUCAGACAUAAUCCCACGCCUGCCUGAGGCCGGAGUCCAUAUUCUUAACAGACAUCCUCUUUUGUCUCCUUAUUUCAUGAUGCCAAAUAUGCAUGACGCUGAUAUAAAGCGUAUAUAUUGGAAUCUGUAUAUUCAAAUGAGCGAUGUCCAUUCAGUCAAACUGGAAGUAUGCCAAUUACCUUCCUAUAUUCAACACUUAGCUCAGAGAUGAUGAGGCACUUCACAGUUGUUUAAUUGCACUGAGCACCCACCCCACAAGCCCAUUUUACUUCUGUUCAAACCAGGUUUGCUAUUCUAAUUUUGGAAUUAUGUUCAUUUGCAAUCUGAGUCACAAGAGUAAAUAAACUUUAUCAGUAUAUCUUUAAAAUUAUGUAUACAUUUAUAAUGUAUUUAUGUAUAGAAAUAUAUAAACACAUUUAUAUAAACACACACAUAUCUCUAUAAAUCCACAUAUUUACACUUGACUACUAAAAAUUAGUUACAAUAUUUGUCUCUUCUAUGUGUUUUCAAAAGUUAUAUUUAAUCCCAAAGAAUUACCAUGAUGAUGUAUGACAGAUUCAAAAAGGAGAUUCAACAGAAUUUGAGGAAUUGUAACACAGUUAGAAAAACAUAGCCCCAAAGCAAACACUUUUAGGGAAUAUUCUUUAUAUUAAGUAUGAGUAUUAAAAAAUUUGAUUAGAAGUGUUUAUAUAUUACUUUAUACUUGUGUAUAUUACAUCCACACCCUGUAUACAUAAUAUAGUUAAUAUAUAUGUGUAUACAUCAUGUAUAUAGGCUGUGAAAGUAAUAUUAAUAUAUGAAUAAGUACAUAUGUACAUUUAAAAAUUGUAUGUACUCAAAAUGCAUAUUUUUUCAGAAGACUGACAAUUACAUUCUAGCACAAAACUUAUUCAAAACCUCUAGUCCAUAAGACAUGAGAAUCAGCAGGUUCCACUUGUGCCCCGUGGGUCUGUAGCCGAUUCAGGGUGGCAACUGCCACAUCUUCCCCUCCUGAUUUAUUUGCUUUCGGUCAGUUUGGCAGCUGCCCCCACAACAGCCUGAGAACGCAAUCUAUACUUCACAGAAAGGCAUUUGGAAUAGAAGAGGGUUUCUGAGGGCAUUUAAAAAAAUAAAUGAAAUAAAGAUGUUGCUAAAAGCUAUCCUCUCAGAUUCACAAGGCUGACAGGAAAACAAAGUUUCAACUUGCAAACAGCAUGAACUGGCCAAGUGGUUUGCUCUGUCAUGGACAGCAGCAAGGCUGGCAUGCAGUCUUGCUGUGCUCACACUAUUGGCCCUGUGAAAACUCAGGCCAGAUCUCCUGUCCAGACAAGAGCCUGGGUUAUUGGGAGAAAAAUCCAUUUUAACUAUUACAUUCAUUUUCAUUUUUCCAGGAAUACAAUCCAAAAUCGCAGGGAGCACUUGGAAACAAUUCUUGGCAACUGUAUUCAGUUGAAGAAACUCAGAAUAUGAAAGCAUUAACAUAGAGUGCAACCAAAACACAAAUAAGAAUCACCCAAGCUGGGCUACAAGAAUAGCUACUGUUUACUCUGAGUGGAUAUUUAUGAAGAGCCGUAGUAAGAAAGAUCUUUUUGAUGAUAACAGAGCGGUGUAUGGCAUGAUAUUAAUUCUGCCUCAUUAGUGAAAUGAAAAACUCUGAGAUAGGUGUGACAAAGAAAAUUAUCACUGUUUCUCAUUCAGUGUUAAUUUCGCUUCUUGAAUUAAAUUCUGCUCAUUCUCUUCGGUGCAUUUAAAAUUAUUCCUUUCUUUUGAUACAUAUAUAUAUCUAUAUCCUAUGGAAUACUACUCAGGCAUAAAAAUGAAUGAAAUCAUGUGUUUUGCAGCAGCAUGGAUGAAUCUGGAGGCCAUCAUCCUAAGUGAAAUAACUCAGAAACAUGUUCUCACUUAUAUCACAAAUAUCUCACUCACAAAUAUCACAUGUUCUCACUUAUAAGUGGGAGCUAAACAGUUAAUACACAUGGACAUAGAGAGUGGAAUAAUAGGCAUUGGAGAACUCCAAAAGAAGGAAAAGUGGGAGCAGGGGUGAGAAAUGAGAAAUUACUUCAUGGGUACAGUAUACAUAUUCAAGUGAUGGGUACACUAAAAGUGCAGAAUUCACCACAAUGCAAUAUAUCCAUGUAACAAAACUGCACUUGUACCCCCCAAAUCUAUACACAUGAAAAAAAAUUGUUCCUUUCCAAUAUCAGCAUGUAUUAGAAUCAGGAAUGGUUUAUACAUUAAACACUAUAAGCACAGCCCUUAUGGAAUGUGAGCCUUUUGAAGAUACAUUAUUUGGAUAGAGCUUGAAUUUUUUUUUUUAAAAAAGAACAAUAAUAGUAACAUGCAUUGAGUGUUUACUUUGUACCAGGUAUGCUAUGAGGGUUUUACAUCCAUUAACUCUCUUGAUCCCCACACCACCCUUUGGGCAAGGUACUUAAAUUAUCAUCAUAUGCAAAACUUGACAUGUAGAGAGAAUAAGGAACUCGCUCAAGGUUAGACUGAUAAUAAGUGACGGAGCUGAUCUUCUAACCCCUGGAGUUGACUUUGCCACCACACUGCCUUCUCACACAUGUUCAGAACUCUCAAUCUUUUCUCAACAGAAGAACCCCAAAGUCUGUUUUGUGUCUUUUUCUAUUCAAACACCCAGACAGAGGGAAGAGCAAAGGUCCUAUGGCCCAGGGAAGUCUGGCUUGAUGGAGAAAAUGAAAGCUGAUAGAUGUGGAUGAAAAAACAAACUGCGGUCAAACUAACAUGAAAAAAGGGCCAACUAGGUAGGACCUUACCGGGUAGGUCCAGAUUUUGAUCUUUAACCUUGGAACAAUGAGAAGCCCAUGAGGCAUUUAGCCAAUUAACGGUUUAUAAAGUUCACUUUGGAAGCAAUUAGAAAAUCAGCAUGAAAUGGAGGGGGCUGAGUGGAUAUCAGGAGAAGGCUGAGGCUAACUCAGCAGCCCAGGAAGAGAAGCAAGGUCUUAGAUUAAGGGACUGGUGAUGUGAGAGUGUUCAGUGAAGCUCAGGCAGCCUCCGCUUCUU